UGCAUGUCUAAGUAUAAACGAUUUAAUCGUGAAACCGCGAAUGGCUCAUUAUAACAGCUAUAAUUUACUUGAUCUUGACACAAUCCUACUUGGAUAACUGUGGUAAUUCUAGAGCUAAUACAUGCAUUAAAGCUCUGACCUCACGGGAAGAGUGCAUUUAUUAGAACAAAACCAAGCGGCUUCGGCUGUUUCUGGUUGACUCAUAGUAACUGAGCUGAUCGCAUGGUCUUGCACCGGCGACGUGUCUUUCAAGUAUCUGCCGUAUCAACUUUCGAUGGUAGUGUAUCUGACUACCAUGGUGAUCACGCGUAACGGAGAAUAAGGGUUCGGCUCCGGAGAGUUCGCCUGAGAAAUCGCGAACACAUCUAAGGAAGGCAGCAGGCGCGAAAAUUACCCACUCUCAGCACGAGGAGGUAGUGACGAAAAAUAACGAGACCGUUCUCUUAUGAGGCCGGUCAUCGGAAUGGGUACAAUUUAAACCCUUUAACGAGUAU
rnacentral:rRNA from 1 species